rnacentral:rRNA from 1 species
GGGGAAUAUUGCGCAAUGGACGCAAGUCUGACCCAGCAACGCCGCGUGAACGAAGAAGGUCUUCGGGUAGUAAAGUUCUUUUAAGGGGGAAGAGGAGAAGACGGUAUCCCUUGAAUAAGCUAUGGCUGACUACGAGCCAGCAGCCGCGGUAAUACGUAGGUGGCAAGCGUUGUCCGGAUUUACUGGGUGUAAAGGGCGUGUAGCCGGGAAGGCAAGUCAGAUGUGAAAUCUGGAGGCUCAACCUCCAAACUGCAUUUGAAACUGCUUUUCUUGAGUGUCGGAGAGGAGAGUGGAAUUCCUAGUGUAGCGGUGAAAUGCGUAGAUAUUAGGAGGAACACCAGUGGCGAAGGCGACUCUCUGGACUGUAACUGACGCUGAGGCACGAAAGCGUGGGGAGCAAACA